AUAUGUGUCCUUAUCCCUGGCUGCAACAUCUGUCACCCCACUGAUCGCCAGGGUUGAUUUGGCUGAUCUGGCUAGCUAGGCAGGUGCCCGCCCCCCUCCCCCCAAAUCCAUGUGCAUCCCUGCUGAAGCUGCAUGCUCAGUCGAAGAGGAUGACCUUCCCCCCAGAGGAGAGGACCAGUCUUAGGUCAAGGGUAUACGAGUAGCUGAGCUCCCCUGCUAGAACCUCCAAACAAGCUCUCAAAGAGUACUUUAAAGAAGGGAUUGGAUAUUAUCCAUUGUUCAUUUUUAAAAGACAUUUAAAAUCUUUGUUAAU
rnacentral:snRNA from 1 species